rnacentral:rRNA from 1 species
UACAGAGGGUGCGAGCGUUGUCCGGAAUCACUGGGCGUAAAGGGCGCGUAGGCGGCUCAGUAAGGUUGCGGUGAAAGCCCGGGGCUCAACCCCGGGUCGGCCGUGGCAACUGCUGGGCUGGAGCACUGUAGAGGCAGGUGGAAUUCCGGGUGUAGCGGUGGAAUGCGUAGAGAUCAUGAGGAAGACCAGUGGCGAAGGCGGGUCUCUGGACAGUUCCUGACGCUGAGGCACGAAGGUCAGGGGAGCAAACGGG